GCCGAUCUUAAAGAGAACACUACACCUGUUCUCCUGACAUCUUCGAAGUUUUCUCUUGAAGUCUGGAGGAAUGGCCCCCAGGCUCCAAGAGCAAAAUAUCAGAAACCUCAUAUUCAGCAUCUCUUAUACCAUCUUUUCUAAUACCCACAGCAAGCUUGUGAAUUUGAUCACCCUGCAAUUUCACCCUGCAAUUUAAGAUGGGCCCUCAGCUAAACACAGGAGGUGAAAUUAGGCAGCAUCCAGA